rnacentral:rRNA from 1 species
CGCGAAACCUUUACACUGCACGACAGUCGAUAAGGGGACCCCGAGUGCGAGGGCAUACAGUCCUCGCUUUUGUGUACCGUAGGGAGGUACACGAAUAAGAGCUGGGCAAGACCGGUGCCAGCCGCCGCGGUAAUACCGGCAGCUCAAGUGAUGGCCGCUAUUAUUGGGCCUAAAGCGUCCGUAGCCGGCCGCACAAGUCCGUCGGGAAAUCCACCCGCCUAACGGGUGGGCGUCCGGCGGAAACUGUGCGGCUUGGGACCGGAAGACUCGAGGGGUACGUCCGGGGUAGGAGUGAAAUCCCGUAAUCCUGGACGGACCGCCGGUGGCGAAAGCGCCUCGAGAGGACGGAUCCGACGGUGAGGGACGAAAGCUAGGGUCCCGAACCGGAUUAGAUACCCGGGUAGUCCUAGCCGUAAACGAUGCUCGCUAGGUGUGACGCAGGCUACGAGCCUGCGCUGUGCCGUAGGGAAGCCGUGAAGCGAGCCGCCUGGGAAGUACGUCCGCAAGGAUGAAACUUAAAGGAAUUGGCGGGGGAGCACUACAACC